rnacentral:misc_RNA from 1 species
UUAAGUUCAGCGGGUAUUCCUACCUGAUCCGAGGUCAACCUUGUGAAAAAACUUGCGUUUCUCCGAGAAGGGGAGAGCGACCGGCGGGCGUGGGUCCUUGCAACUCGGUACGUGCUUCGAAAAGAAAGCUCGGUGUAUCGAGGGUCCCACGGACGCCGUCAUUGUCUUUGAGACCAGUUGGUCGGGGUAACGACCAACGU